rnacentral:rRNA from 1 species
GACGUAGGAGGCGAGCGUUGUUCGGAUUUACUGGGCGUAAAGGGCGCGUAGGCGGCGUGACAAGUCACUUGUGAAAUCUCCGGGCUUAACUCGGAACGGUCAAGUGAUACUGUCGGACUAGAGUACAGAAGGGGCAACUGGAAUUCUCGGUGUAGCGGUGAAAUGCGUAGAUAUCGAGAGGAACACCUGCGGCGAAGGCGGGUUGCUGGGCUGAUACUGACGCUGAGGCGCGAAAGCCAGGGGAGCGAACGGG